rnacentral:rRNA from 1 species
GUGGGGAAUCUUGCGCAAUGGGCGAAAGCCUGACGCAGCCAUGCCGCGUGAAUGAUGAAGGUCUUAGGAUUGUAAAAUUCUUUCACCGGGGACGAUAAUGACGGUACCCGGAGAAGAAGCCCCGGCUAACUUCGUGCCAGCAGCCGCGGUAAUACGAAGGGGGCUAGCGUUGCUCGGAAUUACUGGGCGUAAAGGGCGCGUAGGCGGACAGUUUAGUCAGAGGUGAAAGCCCAGGGCUCAACCUUGGAAUUGCCUUUGAUACUGGCUAUCUUGAGUAUGGAAGAGGUAUGUGGAACUCCGAGUGUAGAGGUGAAAUUCGUAGAUAUUCGGAAGAACACCAGUGGCGAAGGCGACAUACUGGUCCAUUACUGACGCUGAGGCUCGAAAGCGUGGGGAGCAAACAGGAUUAGAAACCCUGGUAGUCC